GACGAACGCUGGCGGCGUGCUUAACACAUGCAAGUCGAACGGAAAGGCCCUGCUUUUGUGGGGUGCUCGAGUGGCGAACGGGUGAGUAACACGUGAGUAACAUGCACUUGACUUUGGGAUAACUUCAGGAAAAUGGGGCUAAUACCGGAUAGGAGCUCCUGCUGCAUGGUGGGGGUUGGAAAGUUUCGGCGGUUGGGGAUGGACUCGCGGCUUAUCAGCUUGUUGGUGGGGUAGUGGCUUACCAAGGCUUUGACGGGUAGCCGGCCUGAGAGGGUGACCGGCCACAUUGGUACUGAGAUACGGCCCAGACUCCUACGGGAGGCAGCAGUGGGGAAUAUUGCACAAUGGGCGGAAGCCUGAUGCAGCAACGCCGCGUGCGGGAUGACGGCCUUCGGGUUGUAAACCGCUUUCGCCUGUGACGAAGCGUGAGUGACGGUAAUGGGCAAAGAAGCACCGGCUAACUACGUG
rnacentral:rRNA from 1 species